UGAGUUGUGAAAGCAACACAAAUAAUGUAAAAUCUGAAAUUAUAGUAGCUAAUACUGAUAUUCUGUUUGGGUACAGAAACACCAUUUGAACUAGUUGUUCUUGCUGCUGGUUUUGCAGCCUGUCAUUCUUCAAACAGACACUCAGAGGCCUUAUGACUAUUGAAAAAUGCAUAGAAGAGAUGAAAGAAAAUCUGCUCCUAGAAUGAGAGUUUUGCCCAAUUGCUGUUUGCUGGCCUAUGAAAUUCUCUUUAUUAAGAAUAACUCCUCAUGGCAUCUAUUUCCCAGGAGUCUGGGGAAGGGAAUUGCUUCUGAGAAAGAGGAAUAGCACUCAUCUGUCAAGUAAUGGAGAGAGCUCCUUAGGAAAAUGUUUUAUCUCCCUUCUUCAUUGUUUGUUCAGUUCAUAUACAUUUAUGCACACUUCUUCAGUCUCUGUGGGUGGAUGUACAUCAGCAAGUCUCAAGUAGAGCUUCACUUUCCUAUUUUUACAAGCUAUGCCUCUUUGUUCCUAAAUAAAAGGGGUUUCUUUUCUGUGUAUAUAUGUAUGCAUGCUCUAACUCUUAUCUUACUUACUCUUAUCUUUAAUUCAGGCACUCCUGCUUAUUAUUAGAAAAAUGGUCUUGAAUUUACUGUGUUGCUAGCACUGGAAGGAAGUGCUUCUGCUGUUGAUAGCUGCCAUGCAGAGAGUGUCUUAGGAUAGAUUCCUCUCAUGAAUGCUGCUGAAACCCAGUUGUGUUUGACUUAUUAUUUAUAUGUCUGAUUCAGUGAACUGCACCGAGAGGAUAGAGAAAGUGAGGAGAAUAAUUGCCUAAAAUUACAAAAUAUCUUCUCUGUGUGUAUAUUCAAUUUCAGGGAUGCAGAAAGGAAAAGUAUUUUUAUGGCUUUUAAGUAUUUUGAAAUGCCAUUUUUUCUAAUUGAGUGUGACAGAAAGAUCUGCAUUCACUCUGUAUCAUGUAUUUUACACAUAAUUGUUAGACAAGGAUGUAGUUUCACAAUACUCUACCUUUAGGGACAAAACCAGAUUAAAGGACGCUGUGUUUGCCCCUAACAUGCUGCUGGCAGCUUGUUGUCCUGUACUACUGUUCAUCACCAUCCACACACAAUGGUUUAUGAGGCCAUGCUGACAUGAUCUGAAGUGAUCCAGGUUAAAAAUAACUCUCCAAAAAGGUUAUUUUCAGUGAUCAGCCUUGCACUCUGCUCCCACAAACAGUUGCUGCGGCACAACUGAAGGGGGGAAGCUGCAGCGGAAGAGCAGCACCACACAGCCGGAGGUGGGAGAGCAGCUGAAGCUAACGUGGUGUUGUCCUGUGCCAGUAGUCCAGAGGAUUUGUGGCUCAAAUGCCUUUCUUUUGGAGAAUUCUUUCUGUCUACGUUGAAGGAAAACAAUACUGUGUGUAAGGAUAUCCUAAAGAUUUGGACAUAAACAUCUAACAUCUGAAGGAAAACUGAUUGAAUUUUAGAAUAAUUAAUAAGCUACAUCUGGUGAGACAACAGAUGCUGGAACUACAUCACAUGCAUGGAAGUGUGCCAAGCUGCACUGGCUAAGCCUGGAAGAGCCAUCUGGUGAGGAGAAUUAAAUCAUCCAGAAAAUUUGGGGACGUGCACACAGUGCUGAGGCAAACUUAGUAAUGAACAGCUCACUGAAGAUGGAGAGACAUUUUCAGAAUGGCAGCUCACUGCAAUUAAUACUAGAGUGAGAAGAUCAGAGUUUUCUUGAGGAUCGCUGUAGCAGAAAUGCAAAGUCACAGCCUGAAGCAAUUACUGAGCAGCUGGUGGGAAGGCAGGGCCAACCCAGGGGAGCUCAGGUGGAUGCAGUGCACCUGAGUGACCAGAAUCCACCCCUUCCUAGACUUCAUUUAAGAGUCAGCAGUAGAGAUGAGGGCAUCUCUUGCUGGAGAUCCCUGUCUACCUGAGGCCUUCUAAAGGUAAGAGCUUCCUUCCUCUGUUUCUGUGGCUGUUAGAUUUGAUUAAGUCCUCACUUGAUCAG